GAUUAACGCUGGCGGCGUGCAUAACACAUGCAAGUCGAACGAUGAAACUUAGUAGACUUCUUCGGAAAGACACUAAGCGGCUUAGUGGCGAACGGGUGAGUAACGCGUGAGUAACCUGCCUUACACAAGGGGAUAGCCUUUGGAAACGAAGAAUAAUACCCUAUAAAACCAUAAAAGCACAUGCUAGAAUGGUCAAAGUGAUAGCGGUGUAAGAUGGACUUGCGUCUGAUUAGCUAGUUGGUGAGAUAAAAGCUCACCAAGGCAACGAUCAGUAGCCGGCUUGAGAGAGUGUACGGCCACAUUGGGACUGAGACACGGCCCAGACUCCUACGGGAGGCAGCAGGGGGGAAUUUUGCACAAUGGGGGAAACCCUGAUGCAGCGACGCCGCGUGAUUUAGAAGGCCUUCGGGUUGUAAAAAUCUUUUGUAUAGGAAGAAAAUGACAGUACUAUACGAAUAAGGUCCGGCUAAUUACGUG
rnacentral:rRNA from 1 species